rnacentral:rRNA from 1 species
AUGAGUCUGCAGAGAGUCAGCGGCUGCUUAGCACUCGGGUUCAUUGUGAGCUUCUUCUCAUGCUCGGCUGCUUCCCCAUCCCCUGAUGGCUUCCUCGCGUGCCUACGCGCCAAGAGCCUACCCAGCGAGCUGGUGCACACGCAGAGCUCCGGCAACUUCACCCACGUGCUGGCCUCUUCCAUCAGGAACGCCAAGUUCUUCACCAACGCCACCGCCAGGCCGCUCUGCAUCGUCACGCCCACCGACGCCUCCCACGUCCAGGCCGCCGUGCUCUGCGGCCGCGGGCAGGGCGUGCGCCUCCGCGUGCGCAGCGGCGGGCAUGACUACGAGGGCCUCUCGUACCGCUCGGCGCGGCCUUCUUCCGAGGCGUUCGCGGUUGUCGACCUCGGCGCCAACCUCCGGGCCGUGCGCGUCAACCGGCUCGAGUCCACGGCAUGGGUCGACUCGGGCGCCACCAUCGGGGAGCUCUACUACGCCAUCGCCAAGAGCGACUCCCGGCUCGCGUUCCCGGCCGGCGAGUGCCCCACCAUCGGCGUAGGCGGCCACUUGAGCGGCGGCGGCGUCGGCAUGAUGAUGCGCAAGCACGGCCUCUCCAGCGACAAGGUUCUCGACGCCACGCUGGUCAACGCCGACGGCGAGCUCCUGGACAGGGCCGGCAUGGGGGAGGACCUCUUCUGGGCCAUUCGCGGCGGCGGCGGCGGCAGCUUUGGCAUCGUGCUCUCGUGGAAGGUCCAGCUCGUGCAUGUCCCGUCGACGGUGGUGGCGUUCAACAUCGCCAAGACGGUCGAGCAGGGCGCCGUGGACAUCCUCACGAGAUGGCAGGACAUCGCGCCGUGUCUACCCACCGACAUCACCUUAAGGGUGAUCGUGCAGGGGCAGCAGGCCAUGUUCCAGGCCCUGUACCUCGGCGGGUGCGGCUCGCUUGUGGCGAUGAUGGACGAGCAGUUCCCGGAGCUGGGCAUGACGAGCGCCGACUGCCAGGCGAUGAGCUGGGUGCAGUCGGCGGCCACGCCCUUCCUCAGCUUCGGCGGGAACGGCACGCUGGAGGAGGCGCUCCUGAACAGGACCACCGGCCUGAGCAGGUCCAACAAGGUCAUGUCGGACUACGUCCGACGCGCCAUCUCCAAGGCCGCGUGGGAAGACAUCUUCCCCUGGUUCGCCAAGGCCGGCGCCGGGUUCAUCCUGCUGGAGCCCCACGGCGGGUUCAUGGGCAGCGUCCCCGCCGCCGCGACGCCGUACCCGCACCGGAACGGCGUGCUGUACGUGAUGCAGUACCUCGUGUCGUGGCCGCAGGAGGGCGGGGACGGCGGCACGGCGGCGACGGCAUGGAUCGAGGGCCUGUACGAGUUGAUGGGACAACACGUGAGCAAGAACCCUCGGCGGGCGUACGUCAACUUCCGGGACCUGGACAUCGGGCAGAACGACGACGAGGCCGGCGGGACGUUCGAGGGCGGCGAGGCGUGGGGCGAGCGCUACUUCGUGGGCAACUACCGGCGGCUCGCGGCGGUGAAGGCCGCCGUGGAUCCAACCAACUACUUCAGCAACGAGCAGAGCAUCCCGCCGUUGCGUUGA